CCUACCCCCAAGUCGUCCCACAACUUCGGCCUUACAGAUCUGCCAUUGCCCACUUCUCCUCAUUUCUCCUCUCCUCUCAGAUCUUCAUUCGUUCUGCCCUUCCCCUGUCCCCUCUAAUAUACAACAGUCAGUCACUACCUUGAUCAUACCAUUACUGAACGAAUCCUCCUGUUGGAGCGCAGGCCCCCUCAUCCAAGAUGUCUCUUGAUCUACCAAUCGGUUAAAGAUUGCUAACAUUGGCAGACCACCUCCAGCCCCUUUCCGAUGUUUAUGAUGCACUCAAACAACUUGCUGAAAUCUUCAACAACCCUACUCUUCUCGUUAUCAGGUCUUGAGCACACUUGUAUUUCAUUCGAACCACCUUUCCUUGUUCCAAGUAUCCUACAACACACAUCUGCAUUCAAAUCAAUAGUUCUCUGACCCACAGUGUCCAAUGAUAAACAUGAUUGCUCAGGGAUCACACUCAUCAGCAGCUGCAUUGCCUGCUCUUUAUGUUUCUUUGGAAAAGUAUCAAUGUCAAGAACCCCAUACAGACCCAUGGAUCUGACUGCUGCCUUCUUGUCUUCCCCCCAACCUUGCAUUGCAACUUUCAGUUUUUUAGGAGUGUAGCAAGUGUUAAUUUUCCAUUCUGGAACAACCCCUAGAUCUUCAUACUUCCUUGUGGGAGAAUGCUCUGCAACUGGGCAUAUGCUGCUAGUGAAGGAAAUAUGCCCUAGAGGCAAUAAUAAAGUUAUUAUUU